GAUCAUGGCUCAGGAUGAACGCUAGCGGCAGGCUUAACACAUGCAAGUCGAGGGGCAGCGGGAUGUAGCAAUACAUUGCCGGCGACCGGCGGAUGGGUGCGUAACGCGUAUGCAACCUACCUUAUACAGGGGAAUAACCUUUCGAAAGGGAGACUAACACCCCAUAGUAUUGAUUUAAGGCAUCUUAGAUUAAUUAAAUAUUUAUAGGUAUAAGAUGGGCAUGCGUAUGAUUAGCUAGUUGGUAAGGUAACGGCUUACCAAGGCGACGAUCAUUAGGGGUUCUGAGAGGAAGGUCCCCCACACUGGUACUGAGACACGGACCAGACUCCUACGGGAGGCAGCAGUGAGGAAUAUUGGUCAAUGGGCGCAAGCCUGAACCAGCCAUGCCGCGUGCAAGGAAGACGGCCUUAUGGGUUGUAAACUGCUUUUACAUAAGACUAACCGUAUAUUUGCGAAUAUACCUGAAUGUAUUAUGAGAAUAAGGAUCGGCUAACUCCGUGCCAGCCGCCGC
rnacentral:rRNA from 1 species